rnacentral:rRNA from 1 species
UACGGAGGGGGCUAGCGUUGUUCGGAAUUAUUGGGCGUAAAGGGCGCGUAGGCGGCCGAAUAAGUCUGACGUGAAAUCCCACGGCCCAACCGUGGAACUGCGUUUGAUACUGUUCGGCUCGAGUCCGGGAGAGGGUAGCGGAAUUCCCAGUGUAGCGGUGAAAUGCGUAGAUAUUGGGAGGAACACCGGUGGCGAAGGCGGCUACCUGGACCGGUACUGACGCUGAGGCGCGAAAGCGUGGGGAGCGAACAGG